rnacentral:siRNA from 1 species
AAUGGCGUAGGUUGUCCCAUUGGU